UUGACCUCAAAUCAGGUAGGACUACCCGCUGAACUUAAGCAUAUCAAUAAGCGGAGGAAAAGAAACUAACAAGGAUUCCCUUAGUAACUGCGAGUGAAGAGGGAAAAGCUCAAAUUUAGAAUCUGGCAGUGUUUCAUUGUCCGAGU
rnacentral:rRNA from 1 species